AGGUCUCGACCCUAACCGACGAAGGGGGGGCGCCUACCACGGUGAGCUUCAUGACUGGGGGUG
rnacentral:rRNA from 1 species